GUCAACUACCCCGGCCUAAAGCCGGAGCUUGCCUGCCUGCCGCGACGCAGACAGGUGAAAGCAAGCUAGGUUGACCAGCCUAAGCCCGCCUGACCAGAAAGGUCGAAAGGGGCUACGUGUACAACAGGUCGUUAAGACUCACCGGCGGAUGCUUCCUCAGUCUGCCGCUCUGGA
rnacentral:sRNA from 18 species